AGGUGCUUAAUUCAUUGUUGCUGAACAAAUGAAGCAGUAAGUCCAGCAUCCCAGCUGAAAGUACCCAUCACUCCACAAAGGCCCCAAUAUCCCUGCUCUAAAUGGGAGGAAGAAGAAGGACAAAUCAGUUCUGGCACUCAUCAGCCAUGUAACCUUGGAUGUUGCCAGGGUUAAUGGAAGGGACAGCAUACAGCACACUACUACGCAAUAAUGAAGACUAUAAGGCUGGGGUCAGAAAACCUUGGUUCAGACCUGAGAGGGAAGCAAAACAACUCCUCUAAUAACACAUCAGGCCCACAGAGGAGCCGGGCAAAGCGCUGGGGUACAAGCCGCAGUCAACUGAGUGUUCUCAAAGCUGAACUCCAUGAGCCUGCUUGGCAGGAGGUUCAACACGUGCAGCCUCCUGCUCAGGCGGAAGUGGUGCAUCUGGGUCGCCGUCUACUGCUCCUUCAUCAGUUUGGCCAACUUCUGUAGCUUUGAGGACCCUAAGUGGAUGACAACCCCCUUGCAGCCUGGAAUGUGUGCCGUUCUGGACCAGGUGGAUGAAAGUAAUUCCAGCUGGAUAGAAGAACAAAAAUGGAGAAAGAGCUGGGGUCCCUGACUUGAAUGCUCAUGCACAGAUUGUCGGUUGAAAAAUAAAAAAAAAAUGCUGUCUAUGUAAUCCCCUGUUAUUCAGUUUCUAUUAGACCAUUAAAGCUCCACGGUAAGUGAUACUUGAGCAUCAUAAGCAUUAUCAAUAUUCUGUGGUGGUAAAGAGUAUGCAUUCUGGCCCUACACUACUGACCAGUGUAAACCCUGGUUCAGCCACUCAACUUCUGUGUGACUUUGGGGAAGUUAUUCAACAUCCCUCAGCCCUCUCGGGGUUGACAUGAGUACCUAACUCAUAAAGUCAUUUUGAUGAUGAACAGACUUAAAGUGCUCAGAGCAGGGCUGGUGUGCAGCGAGCGUAAGUGUUAACUAUUCUUACUCCUCACAAAUACUUGAGACGUGGGUAUUAUCUUGAACAUUUUAUAGAUGAAGAACUGGAGAUUCAGAAAAGCUAACUAAUUUGCCCAAGGUUACAUAAUUAGUAAAGAGUGGAGCUAGGAUUUAGACUCAUCUUACUCCCACGCCUGUGCUUUCCACUUCUAUAGCUUUUCAUUCUAUAUUUUUAAUGUUUUAACACAUUAGAGUGGUCAUCUUAAGGAAAACCAACAUUUUGCCAGCCUUUCCGAUAUUUGUCUUCUGAUUUAGUGUUGCUUUUAUUUGGAUUACGAUGGAGGUAGGGAUGGGCCCUAAAGUUAGUAGAAGCUCCAUAUGACCCGGGUCUUCCUUAGCAGAUGCUUACCCAGCCCUGUAUGAGUUAAAGAUUUCAAUAAUAUUACAAACUGGUAGGUUUCUUUUUUUUUUUUUUUUGUAAGACUUCUAAUGUAAACUUGUGUAAUAUUUUGACCUAUGCACGAAUGCACACUAAGACUUGAUAAGCUCCCACGCAUCUUAAAAUAUAGUUAACUGUAGCUCCAAUUGUAACUGAAGUGUUGAGGGCUCUUAAACAUCUCUGGGGUACUUUCAGAGGUCCCCUGGAAACUGAAAUCCUUCUUUUGGAACUUUAGAAUGGGACAGGAUCAGGUGUUAGUAUUAUGUUUGCAAUUUUCCUUUUCUUUUUUUCCUUUUUAAAUCUGUUUUGAUCACAAAUUAAAGGCUGUACAUAAUAUUGUUUUUGCCCAAUAGUGACUGUGUCCUCAGAAUGUUAGGGGUCAUCUGUUGGGAGCGUAUACCUUCUGGAGGCUUUUGUCCUGCAUCAAUCUGUCACAUAUAGCACAUACAAAUACAUACACCCUUAAAAAUGUUUAUAGUUAACAUUUUCUUUCAAUAUUUAUUUUAUUUUAGUAACAUUUUUGACAUUGGAACUUAAGAAAAGCCUAAUGGGCUACAGUGUUACUCUCAAAAUGAUUUUUAGCUUUUUGAAAAAUGUUUAAUUUUUUAAAAUAAAUAAUGCAGUCAUGAGAUUCAAAAAGCAGAAUGCAUAAAACAGUAUAUAAUCUAACAUUCUCCC